CUUUGUAUAUGCAUCUCUAGGACCAUGCACAGGAUCUCAUAAGGAGUGCUGCUACAUCAAAAUCUGACUCUGUACUACUGAGGAGCUAAGUGUUCUCGGUAUGGAUGUCACUUGGUACUCAUCCAGGUGAAAAGUAAUAUGGAGCAUUUAAUAUUAGCGUUCCCAGCCAGCCACAACCCAAGGAUGUCACCUUCACCAGUCACCAUGGCGCUCUGCUGUGAGCUUCCUGGAGUUUCCCAUUCCCACCUCCCCAGAUGGGGCUAUUUCCACCCCUAGAAAGGGUGGAGAAUUCAAAGGCAGCCAUCCAAACCAGGUGCAGACCCAAACUGACAUUUCCCGGGACAGAAUUUGUGGAUUAUUGCCAACCACCUUGUGCAUGAAGCAACAUUGCCACCUAGCGUCCCACAGAGGAAGUAUUCCCCAAGGUCCAGCCUCUCCUGGGGUGGCUAGUCAGACCCAGCCAGUGGCCAAACAAAAUAUUCCAUGUGUUCCAAGGUUGUACAGGUUGCAGUGAGGGAACUGUGGGGCUGAAGUGUGGAGGGCUGAGGAAUAAAGCCUUAGGAGUAACAGUCUGCUCACUACUCUUGUUUUAAGGCUAGCUUAUUUCUCUAGCAGAAAACUGGGCAGUGUAAGGUGAGAAGUGUCCCCAGGUUUUGUGGGAAGAUCAUAAAGAAGUCAAGUAUAAGUUUAUAUUCUCCAUGAGGUUUUUAUGGUUCUCCACCACAAGGGCCAGAACUGAAUAAGAAUCUUCCGAGCAGAAAAGGCUGGAGUAUAAAGAAAUCUGAGAGAGGAAGGGUCCCUAUUGAGAGACUAGUUCAAGGUUGUCUUCCAGAUAAAGAAACCCAGGGCCAAAGAAGUCAGCUGUCUUGUCUUGUGGGAGAGAUAGGAACACCAUUCACUGCAUGACUUUGUUUAUGUCACAUUGGGAUACAGGUUGGAAAUGACCAAGGGUGAGUACCCAGCAUUAGCCCUCAGACAUCCAAUGUCAUCUAUGCCAUUGCUCAACACAUCAACUACUUGU